UACGUAGGUGGCAAGCGAUACUCGGAAUCACUAGGCGUAAAGCGCAGGUAGGUGGUUUGAUAAGUCUUUUGUGAAAGCUCCCGGCUUAACUGGGAGAGGCCAAGGGAAACUGUCAGACUAGAGUUUGGUAGGGGAUACUGGAAUUCCUGGUGUAGCGGUGAAGUGCGUGGAGAUCGGAAAGAACCCUCGUGGCGAAGGCGACUUUCUGGCCUAAGACUGACGCUGAGGCGCGACGGCGUGGGGAGCAAACAGG
rnacentral:rRNA from 1 species